GGGGUAUAGCUCAGUGGUAGAGCUUUCGUUUCGCAUGCGAAAUAUGCGUGGUUCAAAUCCCCGCACCUCCA